GAGCACUGGCCGAUCAGACAUACCAAGAUGGUCUCACAGGCUCAACUCAUCUGCCUGCUAGUGCUCUGGCUCCAGGACACCAAUGCACAGAUUGUGCUGACUCAGACUCCAGAAUCCCUGGCAGUUUCUCUUGGAGACACAGUAACUAUCCGCUGCAAAGCCAGUUCAAGCCUCACCAGUGGUAGAUAUCACUUAUUAGCCUGGUACCAACAGAAAUCAGGACAAGCUCCUAAAAUGCUUAUCUAUGAUGCUACCUCCCGGUCAUCUGGGGUUCCAACCCGGUUCAGCGGCAGUGGCUCUGGCACUGACUACAUUCUCACAAUCAGCAGAGUUGAAGCUGAAGAUGCUGGAGAUUAUUAUUGUCAACAAGGCAGAAGCUUGCCUCUCACAGUGAUAUGGGCCAAUACAAAAACCUCCCCAUCCUGUUCCUUUCAGUGAACAGCUGCUUCCUAUAUCUCAUUGCUAUACUAGAUUUCAGACAGCAUUUUGAUUCGCCUUGCAACACUAGGCAGAGUCUUCUGCGCCCACUGCUGACCUUUCUGUAAUACUGUUGUCUCUUUCCCAAUUCCAGUACUCCAAUGCUGACACCAGUGUUGUCCCCCUGAUGAGCAGAUGUUUAGCCCAGUUUCUCAGAAUAUGUGAAAUCCACAAUGCCAAGGGUAAGUAGAUAAUGUUUUCACCCUUCAGCAUAACUUGUUUUAUUUACACAUACACAUCCAUCCUGGAACAGAGGUGGUAAAAACAGCAUACAAUCAAACCCCUCUUUCAGGAAUCUCAUCCCAACACCAAUACCCAUAUCC